GCACAUUGCUGUCUUUUACUGGUCUUCCUGGCACCAGCAUUCUCAUGUUGAACCGACGGCGGUGUUUAUCCAUUUCUUCUGAUGGAAGAGGAGGUGCUAAAAUCAGGAAGGAAGGUUCUCCUACCAGAAGAGGCAUAAAAUGCACACCAUUAAUGUGAGCUGUAGGGAGCAGUGUACCUGGGAUGUUCUCGGACUGCCGGCGGGGUUUCACGAGCAGCUUGACGCCCCCUCCAAAGACAGCAGCCCACAUGCGGCUGUUGAGCGGGUGCGCCGCCAGCCGGAACAGCUCGUUACACGAGUUGGUGGCCAGGGCGUGGAUCAGCAGACUCAGGACAGUGAAAUAAUUCUGGCACAUGGAGCUGGCCCAGUGGAGCUAAAAGUAGCCUUAUUUUAGUCUCACCAGGCCACUGAGCAGGAGAUGAGUUUGGAGUUGCGUGCUCUUCGAUGCUUUCUGUCCUCAGUCUGCGUCGAUCACUCAAAAGCAGUCCUUGAUAGACCAUCCCAGUAAAUUGAUUUGCUUCUGUUUGACUGCUGCACACAAAUAAAUAUUUUUCUGAUGAGAAAGAAGAAUUUCCAUUUAGGAUGCACAAAGUAUACUGCAAAUGUAGGACUAUAUGAAAACUUCCCUCUUUACCUGUAGCUGUGGCUGUCACAUAGUGCUUGAUAAAUGGAUGCAGAAAGAGAAGCUGCUAAAGAGUGAAGUGUGUACACCUAAAAGAAAGAGAAUCAAUGAGCUAUAUGUUUUAUAUAAAAGUUCAGUGCUUGUCGUGGCCACAGUGUCUGCCAAAGCUACAAGGAACAUCUGCUCCAGUCGAGUGAGGCCUGGCAAACUUGAGUGCAUCAGGUGGCUUGAAAGGACACUGGCGUGCUCUCGGCCAAAAGCCCUGAGGUAUUUUAGAAGUUUCUUCGACAACAUAGGUGGCAUCCUGAUCAGCAGCAAGCAGUGCAUACAACGGCAGUGGGGGAAUUGAGUCUAUCUCUGUGUAGUCUCGGGUGCCAUCCUUCCCAGCAG